UACGUAGGGUGCGAGCGUUAAUCGGAAUUACUGGGCGUAAAGCGUGCGCAGGCGGUUUUGUAAGCCAGGUGUGAAAUCCCCGGGCUCAACCUGGGAAUGGCAUUUGGGACUGCAAGGCUGGAGUGCGGCAGAGGAGACUGGAAUUCCUGGUGUAGCAGUGAAAUGCGUAGAUAUCAGGAGGAACACCGGCGGCGAAGGCGGGUCUCUGGGCCAUAACUGACGCUGAGGAGCGAAAGCGUGGGGAGCGAACAGG
rnacentral:rRNA from 1 species